UUUUUUUAUGCCCUACAUUCUACCGCAAAUACAUUUGGAUUUGCAUAUUUUGAGUCCUGCUACUACUAAUUUGACUUAUGAUGUCCAUGGUUUAGGAUGAUUGGUCGCAGCUCAUCUUCUAUCAUGAGUUUCUUAUUUGCAGGUGAUGAUCUUGCUGCAACUUGCUUGCUGCCUUGGUUUACAGUGAGCUAGCUGCUGCAGCCCUUUUGUUUCUUUAGAGGACACAGAUGACAGAAACGCCACCAUGGAAUCAGGCAACCAAUAACCGGAGCACAACUGUCAACUCAUUUUAUUCAUUGGCCAGACUACGAAGCAUGGAAAGAACAACCAGAAGGAAAUAAUAUGCGUACACCAUGAUGGUCACUGAGAAAUCUGACAUACAGCUAUGGUGUUGUGCGGUGGAGGUGCUAAUAGGUAGUGCACAUGUGCAACAAAUAUAAUUAACUGGGAGGUGAUCUCGUAACAUGGGCAAAAAUUUACAUCAGGGACAAUUCUCUGGGCCCAGGGAUCCUCGACACUAAUCUGGAUUUGGAAGAUUGCUCUGCUAUGUAGUUACCUGUCGCUGUGUGAGAGAUUGUUAAGCGAGUCGAAAGAUAGGGCCUGGGCAAGCUCCGCAUCCUCGUCUGCUUCUGAUCAUUCUUUCAAGAAGGAUAGCUCAUGAUGUAUGUUUAUAUAAGUUCAGUUAGUGAAGGGAAUACCCGUUGUUCCCUUUACCUUGUUAUUACUUAUGGUGGGGACUUUUGGAGUCUGCAGUCAUUCUUUCAAACUGGAAUACCAGUUUUUUGUGAUGUUUAUUUCUCU